GCCGGGCGAGGUGGCGGGCGCCUGUAGUCCCAGCGACUCCGGAGGCUGAGGCAGGAGAAUGGCGUGAACCCGGGAGGCGGAGCUUGCAGUGAGCUGAGAUCCGGCCCCUGCUCUGCAGCCCGGGCUAAAGAGCAAGACUCUUUUUAAAAAAAAAAAAAAAAAAAAANNNNNNNNNNUUUUUUUUUUUUUUUUUUUUUAAAAAGAGUCUUGCUCUGUAGCCCGGGCUGCAGUGCAGUGGCCGGAUCUCAGCUCACUGCAAGCUCCGCCUCCCGGGUUCACGCCAUUCUCCUGCCUCAG
rnacentral:SRP_RNA from 1 species